CCCUUAGAGUUUGAUCCUGGCUCAGAACGAACGCUGGCGGCAGGCUUAACACAUGCAAGUCGAACGGUUGUAGCAAUACAGCAGUGGCAGACGGGUGAGUAACACGUGGGAACCUUCCUAGGGGUACGGAACAACUCAGGGAAACUUGAGCUAAUACCGUAUACGUCCGUGAGGAGAAAGAUUUAUCGCCCCUAGACGGGCCCGCGUAGGAUUAGGUAGUUGGUGAGGUAACGGCUCACCAAGCCUACGAUCCUUAGCUGAUCUGAGAGGAUGAUCAGCCACACUGGGACUGAGACACGGCCCAGACUCCUACGGGAGGCAGCAGUGGGGAAUCUUGGACAAUGGGCGCAAGCCUGAUCCAGCCAUGCCGCGUGAGUGAAGAAGGCCUUCGGGUUGUAAAGCUCUUUUACCAGGGACGAUAAUGACGGUACCUGGAGAAUAAGCCCCGGCAAACUUCGUGCCAGCAGCCGCGGUAAUACGAAGGGGGCUAGCGUUGUUCGGAAUUACUGGGCGUAAAGCGCACGUAGGCGGGUCGUUAAGUCAGGGGUGAAAUCCCAGAGCUCAACUCUGGAACUGCCUUUGAUACUGGCGACCUAGAGUCCGGAAGAGGUUAGUGGAAUUCCCAGUGUAGAGGUGAAAUUCGUAGAUAUUGGGAAGAACACCAGUGGCGAAGCGGCUAACUGGUCCCGUACUGACGCUGAGUGCGAAAGCGUGGGGAGCAAACAGAUUAGAUACCCUGGUAGUCCACGCCGUAAACUAUGGGUGCUAGCCGUCAGAAGCUUGCUUUUUGGUGGCGCAGCUACGCAUAAGCACCCGCCUGGGGAGUACGUCGCAGAUAAACUCAAAGAAU
rnacentral:rRNA from 1 species